UGUAGUCAUAUGCUUGUCUCAAAGAUUAAGCCAUGCAUGUCUAAGUAUAAGCAACUAUACGGUGAAACUGCGAAUGGCUCAUUAAAUCAGUUAUCGUUUAUUUGAUAGUACCUUACUACUUGGAUAACCGUGGUAAUUCUAGAGCUAAUACAUGCUAAAAACCCCGACUUCGGAAGGGGUGUAUUUAUUAGAUAAAAAACCAAUGCUCUUCGGGGCUCCUUGGUGAUUCAUAAUAACUAAACGAAUCGCAUGGCCUUGCGCCGGCGAUGGUUCAUUCAAAUUUCUGCCCUAUCAACUUUCGAUGGUAGGAUAGUGGCCUACCAUGGUAUCAACGGGUAACGGGGAAUG
rnacentral:rRNA from 1 species